AUGUGCUCCAGAAGAACAAGAACACAGCACAUAACAGAUACGUUUUCAAAAAUGGUAAAAAUGUCACAAAUGGUAUCUCUCAAGAUUUUGAAUCUAAACCUGAAACUCCCAGGAAUACUCUCAGCCAUCUAUUCUCUCAGCGUAAAAUGUGCUCUAGGACCACUUGGAUUGCUAUCACUGGGGCGCUUACUACAGAUGCACAUUUCUGGUCCCUCCCGGAUUUACUGAAUCAGAAUUUCUAAAGAGGACCAAGAAACAGAAUUUCUACUAUCAACCUAGAAGAUUCCUUUCCUACACCAACAGAAUUCUACUUCUUUAAUAAUGGGUUGUUGACUUUUAUUUAUCAAAGGUUACUGUGAGACACAAAUAAAAUCUAUUUUUUUAGUGCU
rnacentral:lncRNA from 1 species